UUAUGAUUGCUGCAGGUGCUGCAAAUGUGGGGGGGAAUUAAGCUUUGUGCCAGAGAAGUCUGGCAUUGACGGUCCUAUCAACAGCCCAAGAUGGAAACCAUUAUGAAAAACUGGUGAUAAGAACAUGCAGCAACCAAGGAUUUACAGGAUUGUCAGGCUGAGUUUUGCAUUGUGGAAUAUACAAAAUCAAUCCUGGAUGAGCAAGGGAUAGAUACAGGCAAAGGAGGAGCAGUUUGCAGAAGUGUUCUUGAAAAUCACCAUGUUAAAAGCUGUCAGCCAUCUCCAAAGAAAAUGCUUAUCUACGGGCAACGCUAAUAAAUGCAAACAGCAUGCCAUAUGGUCUCAUUAUCAAAACUUAGGGAAGAAACUCAACCAGCACAGCAUGGUGACCCACUGCACUCAGAGUUCUGGCCUGCAGCAUCAGGAGAAACAGCUGGAUUCAGAAAUACAAUUCAAUUUGAUUGCAUGGUCAGCCAAACACAUACCCAGGAAAUAAGUUACAAAACUGAAGAUCUUUGUGGCUACAAAUAUUUUAGGAACAUCAAACUACCGCUGAAUUAUUUUGAUGUUGCACUUGACAUUCCGUGUUAUUUUUGCUAGUUCUGGAGGAGGGAAGAUGGUAAGGGGGAGUGAAACCUACUGUCAGUAUUUUUCCUGUGAGGUUCAUGCCAUCUUUACCAUUAACUGUCUGCAAACACUCUUAAUUUUGAGAUAAUUGCUUUACUGUGCAUUGUAUGCUGAAAGGAGUAGUACGCUUCUGUGCAGAUUUGGUCCUUUAUUAUGAAACUCAGAAGCAUACUGUUGGACCAUGUGAUGGAUUCGGACUUGCUGUUCUCUAAAUUCCCUUGCCUUGGGAUCUAGGCUAAUGUUGGACUACCACUGCCAAAUUUGUUCUGGACUCAUCAGAAUCAGAAAGACCCCAUUAAAAUACGGUUGUUCAGGUUACAUUUUUGAUGUUGCAGAAGGA
rnacentral:lncRNA from 1 species